GGACCUAGAAUAGCCCCUGCCUGGGCUGACUGGCUCUGCAUUGUUGGAAAAUGACCAACUGGCGUCUGACAUGGAUGAUUGUUAAACCAUGGAGAUGCUGCCUUUGUCACCACGGAGAACAAGUGGGCACAAGUCGUCACCGGUAGCCUAUCAGAAGUCAGGAUGAGCCCUGCAUGGCUAGAAAUGGUCUGUGCUCAUCACACCAAUAGAAUUGAAUGAUUAAUAUUUGCCAUGCGUGACUGCACAGGUUUAUCCCUGCAAUUAAGUCAGUUUGCAAAUUUGUAAUAAAACAUUGAUCUAUUACUUUACCUGACCUAUUGGUCAAUGUUACUAAUGGAUUCCGGGACAAUUCCCAAUAGAAUAUGAAUAUUGAUUUCGUGUUCCUCUGAAAUAUCCGCUCUGGGCUAAUGCCAUUGGUACAAGGUGAAAUUAAAUUAGUGACUGAUG
rnacentral:lncRNA from 1 species